UAUAGGAGGGAAGGAUUGGCAACGGAAGUGGUUCACGUGAUCAUUUUACAUGUGUUUCUGCAGUUUUGUAAUGAAACCAUCCGUGACUCGCCUGUUUUCCUGCCAGAAUGCCCGCGAAAAGCAGAAAAGUCUGUUUAUGGUCUUCCUUUAGUGCCUCAUGACCUCUCAUGGUGUUACACUGAUGUUGUGCUUUAUUUAGAGUUAGAUUAUCAUGCCAGUUUGUAAAACUAAAAAAACAAAGACUUUUUACUACAGAAAAACUACAAUUUUACAAGGUCCAUCAACUGGUACAGGUUUUGUGCUUUAAAUUUUAGUCAGUUGCAGAAAAUAUGACUGGAGGUGUAAGGCCUGAUUAUCGGCUUAUACAGAACUGGGAUAGAAAGCUCCAGUCAUACUAUUAGAUCUUCAUCGUACUAUCAGUAUGCUGGAAGAAAUUUAUGAAGCUGAAGAAGGAAGAGUUGAUUGACUAUUUUGGGCUACAUAUUAAAAAACGAAAUGAAAGACUUUGUUACAUGCAAAAGACCUGUACAGUUGUAUAGCACCAGCUCUACCUCAUGCAGUAGCAGCAGUAGCAGUUCAUUAUGCAGCUUAGCAGUUUAUAUGACUUGUGAAAUGUUGAUAAUUUA